UCUUGGACGGUACCACACAAUGAAAACCAUGCACCACCCAGAGAAGUGGCGGCUAGAAGCAUACAUGCCUGGUGCAUGGUCUUUCCGGCUUUCUGAUGAAACUAUAUUAUUAUCACAAACCAUGAAGCCUUGAUGCGCCAUUGAUAUACACCAAUGUGGAUCUUUGCAAGAGGAGGCUGCAUGUAACCAAACUGAAAAAUGCUUUCCCUACAACCAGCAGUGCUAUUCUGAGAGGCUUGGGGACCUUCAGAGACACAUGGAUACCAAGUUCAAGAUAACAGAGCUCCCAAAAGCAAGCGACUUGACUCAACAUGGAUAUUUUUCCCUGAAUUAUGGGCUCAUUCAUUUCUAUGCUCUUAUAAAUGGGGUUAAUUUUAGGUAUGUUACCUCACCCUCAAAGCCUGUCAUUAGGUACUGCUGGUUUGUUGUUUGGAAGAUGACUUCUACCAUGAGUUUACACAGAUAAAUUCAACAAUGUAAAAACCUCACUAGAAACUGCUGUGUACACCUGUAUGUGCUUUAGAUGAUCCCAGAACAGUGCCAUUAUGAAUGUAUAAUGUCUCUCAAGCAAUGGGUAAUUGCCUCCAUUCUAAAUACGCCAUUUCUCAGAAAAGCCCAUGCCACAAAAAAAUAAUUAAAAAAAAAAAUACAAAACAAACCAACAAGUAGGAAUGGUUUCUAAAGUGAAAAUGGGUGACGGUUUUUUGAGUGUCAGUAAGAAUGAAGGAUGUGUUCACAGUUCUGUGUAAGAAGCAGAGAAAAACUUGAAAAAAUAUUUAGCUUUGAGGAACUUUGGGAUGUCUAACAUACUUCUCCUCUUGAAAUGAAAAGACAGUAUAAUUGACUUGGAACCAGUG